rnacentral:rRNA from 1 species
UACGGGGGGGGCAAGCGUUGUUCGGAAUUACUGGGCGUAAAGGGCUCGUAGGCGGCCAACUAAGUCAGACGUGAAAUCCCUCGGCUUAACCGGGGAACUGCGUCUGAUACUGGAUGGCUGGAGGUUGGGAGAGGGAUGCGGAAUUCCAGGUGUAGCGGUGAAAUGCGUAGAUAUCUGGAGGAACACCGGUGGCGAAGGCGACAUCCUGGACCGGUAUUGACGCUGAGGCGCGAAAGCCAGGGGAGCAAACGGG